rnacentral:rRNA from 1 species
GACGAACGCUGGCGGCGUGCUUAACACAUGCAAGUCGAACGGAAAGGCCUCUUUCGGGGGGUACUCGAGUGGCGAACGGGUGAGUAACACGUGAGUAACCUGCCCUUGACUUUGGGAUAACUUCAGGAAACUGGGGCUAAUACCGGAUAGGAGCUCCUGCUGCAUGGUGGGGGUUGGAAAGUUUCGGCGGUUGGGGAUGGACUCGCGGCUUAUCAGCUUGUUGGUGGGGUAGUGGCUUACCAAGGCUUUGACGGGUAGCCGGCCUGAGAGGGUGGCCGGCCACAUUGGGACUGAGAUACGGCCCAGACUCCUACGGGAGGCAGCAGUGGGGAAUAUUGCACAAGGGGUGGAAGCCUGAUGCAGCAACGCCGUGUGCGGGAUGACGGCCUUCGGGUUGUAAACCGCUUUCGCUCAUGACGAAGCUUUGUGUGACGGUAGUGGGUAAAGAAGCACCGGCUAACUACGUG